rnacentral:rRNA from 1 species
UACGUAGGGUGCGAGCGUUGUCCGGAUUUAUUGGGCGUAAAGGGCUCGUAGGCGGCGUGUCGCGUCGGGAGUGAAAGACCGGGGCUUAACCCCGGUUCUGCUUCCGGUACGGGCAUGCUGGAGUGUGGCAGGGGAGACUGGAAUCCCUGGUGUAGCGGUGGAAUGCGCAGAUAUCAGGAGGAACACCGGUGGCGAAGGCGGGUCUCUGGGCCAUUACUGACGCUGAGGAGCGAAAGCGUGGGGAGCGAACAGG